rnacentral:rRNA from 1 species
UGGGGAAUAUUGGACAAUGGGGGCAACCCUGAUCCAGCAAUGCCGCGUGUGUGAAGAAGGUCUUCGGAUUGUAAAGCACUUUCGACGGGGACGAUGAUGACGGUACCCGUAGAAGAAGCCCCGGCUAACUUCGUGCCAGCAGCCGCGGUAAUACGAAGGGGGCUAGCGUUGCUCGGAAUGACUGGGCGUAAAGGGCGUGUAGGCGGUUUACACAGUCAGAUGUGAAAUCCCCGGGCUUAACCUGGGAGCUGCAUUUGAUACGUGUAGACUAGAGUGUGAGAGAGGGUUGUGGAAUUCCCAGUGUAGAGGUGAAAUUCGUAGAUAUUGGGAAGAACACCGGUGGCGAAGGCGGCAACCUGGCUCAUGACUGACGCUGAGGCGCGAAAGCGUGGGGAGCAAACAGGUUAGAUACCCUGGUAGUCC